rnacentral:rRNA from 1 species
GAUGAACGCUGGCGGUAUGCUUUACACAUGCAAGUCGUACGAGAGUUUUGAACUCAAGUGGCGGACGGGUGAGUAACACGUAAGAAUUUGCCUUUAGGAGGGGGACAACAACUGGAAACGGUUGCUAAUACCCCAUAUGCUUUCGAGUGAAACGGUUUUUCCGCCUAAAGAGAAGCUUGCGGCUGAUUAGCUUGUUGGUAAGGUAAUGGCUUACCAAGGCGACGAUCAGUAUCUGGUUUGAGAGGACGAUCAGACACACUGGAACUGAGACACGGUCCAGACUCCUACGGGAGGCAGCAGUGGGGAAUUUUCCGCAAUGGGCGAAAGCCUGACGGAGCAAUACCGCGUGAGGGAUGAAUGCCUAUGGGUUGUAAACCUCUUUUUUCAGGGAGGAAUCAAUGACGUUACCUGAAGAAUAAGCAUCGGCUAACUCCGUGCCAGCAGCCGCGGUAAGACGGAGGAUGCAAGUGCUAUCCGGAAUCACUGGGCGUAAAGCGUCUGUAGGUGGUUUGAUAAGUCAACUGUUAAAUCUUGAGGCUCAACCUCAAAACCGCAGUCGAAACUAU